CACCCCAAACCCUAAUUUGGCGGUCGUACAAUGCAGUCUCCUGCUCGGUUAACUCCUCCCCGUCCAUAAGUGACCACAACCUAAUCCCCAGAUUUCAAACAGUCCGACUCUAAAUUCCCCUGUAAUAUGCGGGAAAAUGCUAAGUAUGAUGAUGCCACGGUGAUAUGGGGUUUUCGGAAAGAAAUAAAUUAGAAACCUAAACAAAUAAAACACAAGUAAAGUGAAGCGUAGGGACAGGGUACCUUGAGCGUAGUUCGAGUUCAGCAGCUUCAAGUGCAAAGAAGCAACCUUAAGCAAAUGAUUCUUAUUUGGCUAAAUUUAUUCAAAAACAUCACAUUUCAUCUUUCAAUUCGAU
rnacentral:lncRNA from 1 species